CUACGGAGGAUCCGAGCGUUAUCCGGAUUUAUUGGGUUUAAAGGGAGCGUAGGUGGAUUGUUAAGUCAGUUGUGAAAGUUUGCGGCUCAACCGUAAAAUUGCAGUUGAAACUGGCAGUCUUGAGUACAGUAGAGGUGGGCGGAAUUCGUGGUGUAGCGGUGGAAUGCUUAGAUAUCACGAAGAACUCCGAUUGCGAAGGCAGCUCACUAGACUGUUACUGACACUGAUGCUCGAAAGUGUGGGUAUCAAACAGGAUUAGAUACCCUGGUAGUCCACACAGUAAACGAUGAAUACUCGCUGUUUGCGAUAUACAGUAAGCGGCCAAGCGAAAGCAUUAAGUAUUCCACCUGGGGAGUACGCCGGCAACGGUGAAACUUAAAGGAAUUGACGGGG
rnacentral:rRNA from 1 species